ACUCCUACGGGAGGCAGCAGUGGGGAAUCUUCCGCAAUGGACGAAAGUCUGACGGAGCAACGCCGCGUGAACGAUGACGGCCUUCGGGUUGUAAAGUUCUGUUAUACGGGACGAAUGGUACGACGGUCAAUACCCGUCGUAAGUGACGGUACCGUAAGAGAAAGCCACGGCUAACUACGUGCCAGCAGCCGCGGUAAUACGUAGGUGGCAAGCGUUGUCCGGAAUUAUUGGGCGUAAAGGGCGCGCAGGCGGCGUCGCAAGUCGGUCUUAAAAGUGCGGGGCUUAACCCCGUGAGGGGACCGAAACUGCGAUGCUAGAGUAUCGGAGAGGAAAGCGGAAUUCCUAGUGUAGCGGUGAAAUGCGUAGAUAUUAGGAGGAACACCAGUGGCGAAAGCGGCUUUCUGGACGACAACUGACGCUGAGGCGCGAAASCCAGGGGAGCAAACGGGAUUAGAUACCCCGGUAGUCCUGGCCGUAAACGAUGGAUACUAGGUGUAGGAGGUAUCGACCCCUUCUGUGCCGGAGUUAACGCAAUAAGUAUCCCGCCUGGGRRGUACGGCCGCAAGGCUGAAACUUAAAUGAAUUGACGGAAGUC
rnacentral:rRNA from 1 species